rnacentral:rRNA from 1 species
UUAUUUGAAACAGGAUACAACCUCCAACACCGGGUAAAUUUUAGUGAUCUAAAUAAAGUGGGCCUAAAAGCAGCCACCUUUUAAAAAGCGUCAUAGCUUAAUUUCUAUCACACCCCAAUUCAUUAAAUCCCUUUCAACCCUUCACCAGUACUGAACUGUUUUAUAUUUUUAUAAAAAUAAUUAUGCUAGAACUAGUAACAAGAAAUUUGCCCUUCUCCAAAUUGCAAGUAUAAAUCAAAACGACACCCCAAUGAUAAUUAACGUAAAUACAUAAAAUAUAGUAACAUAUAUCUAGAAAAUUCUAUAACCUCAGACGUUAACCUUACACCAGAGCACUACAGGAAAGAUUAAAAGAGAAAGAAGGAACUCGGCAAACUUCAGCCCCGCCUGUUUACCAAAAACAUCGCCUCUUGAUUCCCAUAAGAGGUCCAGCCUGCCCAGUGACAUAAAGUUCAACGGCCGCGGUAACCUAACCGUGCAAAGGUAGCAUAAUCACUUGUUCUCUAAAUAGGGACUUGUAUCAACGGCACCACGAGGGCUAUACUGUCUCCUUUCUCCAAUCAGUGAAACUGAUCUCCCCGUGAAGAAGCGGGGAUUUUUUU